AGGUUCACUCAGAAUGAUGACAGUCCAUUUCUUUGAGACGCUCCUAAAGCCCUGGGGCUGCUGGUCAUCAUGGCUGCCUCAUUGUGCUCAGCAACUACAGGCAGAGUCCACUCCAUAUGAUCACUUUUUCAGCCUUCAUCUUCACUAUCUGCCUAUAUGGCUCCUGCCAUUCAAAGUCAUUAUGCAGAUGCAGAUGAGCAUGGCAACGUGAGAAUAUGUCAGCGGCCCGAAGAUGAAAUGAGUGUAACUCCCUGAAAUCCCUGUUAGAAGAGUCUUUCCACUGGUUGGGAACGCUAAUUGUAUUUUGACAACUCAGAAUGUUACAGCAACUCAGAAUGUUACAACUUCUGCAUUGGAAUAAAAAAAGG